rnacentral:rRNA from 1 species
GACGAACGCUGGCGGCGUGCUUAACACAUGCAAGUCGAGCGGUAAGGCCCUUUCGGGGGUACGACGAGCGGCGAACGGGUGAGUAACACGUGGGUGACCUGCCCUUAGCUCUGGGAUAAGCCUGGGAAACUGGGUCUAAUACCGGAUAUGACUCCAUGACGCAUGUUGUGGGGUGGAAAGCCUUGUGCGGCUAGGGAUGGGCCCGCGGCCUAUCAGCUUGUUGGCGGGGUGAUGGCCACCAAGGCGACGACGGGUAGCCGGCCUGAGAGGGCGACCGGCCACACUGGGACUGAGACACGGCCCAGACUCCUACGGGAGGGCAGCAGUGGGGAAUCUUGCGCAAUGGGCGAAAGCCUGACGCAGCGACGCCGCGUGGGGAUGACGGCCU